rnacentral:rRNA from 1 species
GUUAAAAAGCUCGUAGUUGGAUUUCUGUUACGGCGAGUCGGCCGGCUCUUCGGAGUUGUAGCUAGAUUUCGCGGUAGCAUCUUGGCGUAAUUACCACUGGCAUUCAUUUGUUGGUGUGUAGGACCGCCUCGUUUACUUUGAGAAUAUUUGACGGUUCAAACGAAACUAUCGUUUUGAAAAUAUUAGCAUGGAAUAAUAAUAUAGGACUUUUGGUUCUAUUUUGUUGGUUGUACGAGAACCAAAGUAAUGAUUGAUAGGGACAGUUGGGGGCAUCAGUAUUCUGAAGCGAGAGGUGAAAUUCUUGGACCUUCGGAAGACUAACAGCUGCGAAAGCGUUUGCCUAGGAUGUUCUCUUUAAUCAAGAACGAAGGUUGGGGGAUCGAAGACGAUCAGAUACCGUCGUAGUCUCAACUAUAAACUAUGCCAGCUAGGGAUGAGUGGAUGUUUAAUUACCGACUCCAUUCGCACCUUAUGAGAAAUCAAAGCAUUUGGGUUCCCGGGGGGAGUAUGGGUCGCAAGGCUGAAACUUA